GUAAAUGAGAAGUACGCUGUACUGGAUGAUCCCGAGAACGCCACACGCGGGCUGCUGCCGUGGUGGUUUGCUUAUAUUGGCUUCAUCCUGGUGUUCGUCACCACCAACACCGCCGCGUUCUUCGUCAUGCUGUACACGUUUGAGUUCGGGCGGGAGAAGACAGAAGCCUGGCUGCUCAUCUUCCUGACGUCAUUCCUCUCCGACCUCAUCCUCCUCCAGCCUUUCAAGAUCCUCGCCAUGGCGGCGCUAUUCGCCGUGUUUUUCAAGGUGCUGUCAUAUUACUCAUUUAUAUGUAAUGCCUGUCAUGUAACCUGCUGUUCGUCAUAUUUUCAAGGUCUUUCCUUUCACCUUUACUCACAAUCCCAACCGAAAAUCAACAAAGGCAAGCAAAAAUCGAAAGAAACUAGUCCCACAUUGAAUCCAAGCUUCUCGUAUUCCUUACGUUGUUUUUCUUGUUACAGAAAGCUAACAAAGAAGGCGAAGUUAAGAGAUCUGAUGUAAGGAAAUAUGAGGAGAUGGUUGCAGGCCAAAAGCAGGUAAUGUGAGCAUGACUUGUUAACAUAUGAAGAUCGUCACUUGUUCAAUUUCAAACCCUAAGCCUCUCACUUCGUAGACAUAAAAAAUGUGUUAUCCAGUGGCUUAAUACUUUGUAUAAUCUUUCUGCAAUAAGAACAAGGAAUUCAUAGAUGGAAAGCAGUAAAAAAAUUAGAUCAAGGAUUUUAUUACGAUUAGCCUCGGAUGUUCCAUGACUGUAUGAUCCAUUAAAGAGUCCACCUGUCCCGGCACCACACGACUCCCCGGACCUAGCUGAGGCCCGCAGGAUUGCCGUCCGGCGGAGGAAGCUGAGGAACAUUCUGAAGGAAGUGGCUGUUUACGCCCUUUUCCUGGCCGUGGUCAUGCUGGCUGCGUACGGACAGAAGAAUCACCUGACCUUUCAUAUGUCCAACGAGGUUCAGCGACUCGUUGUUCACAACGAGGAAAUGUCAUUCGAGGAAGUAAGUGAAAUGUGAAAAUGUUAUUUUAUCUAUAAGUAUAAAUGCAGCAAACCCUUGUGCUCUCCAUGAGAGAUAUCUAAUAUCUUGUGAAGCUAUCCGAGGGAAAAUGUUUGCUAUACAAGUACUAAUGUGUUUUUUCAGAAGCUGAAUUACUUUUAUCAAAUCGAUGAGCAAUAUACCAAUGAUGAUGUAGAUAUAGAUUGACCAGAAUGUUUCUCUACUUCGUUAAAUGGCGUUUAAGCACCACUCUAACUGUUUUCCUCACCAUGUCAGGUGGCUGAUGGAGAUUCCUACUGGACCUGGCUGGAAGAUGCCGCCAUUCCAGUUCUUUACCCAGACGCCACUCCAGCCGUCCCGGACCUGCCUGUCUAUCGUGUAGGGCCGAUCCGGCUCCGCCAGGCUAGAGUCAAGCUGGGUCCUGCCUGCCUGACGACAGUGUCACCAGGAAACCAGACAUCCGGGUGCGACAGACGUUAUGACUACCUCAGUCAGGACGAAGGGCAGUACGGAGAAGGCUGGUUGCCGCUGCCCACAGUCAACAUCACCGCUUUCAACGGGACCAACGGCACCGCAGAGACAGCAGAGCAGAACGGCACAAGUCCGUGGAGGUACCGGUCGUCUGACGAUCUACAAGGUAGUCGUCCAACUAAUCUCGCUAUCUUUUUCC